AAAUUAGAUCUAAUCUGAUUUCUUUUUUCUUUUUCUCUUCUCAAGAGAAACAGAAGAAGAUCUAGAAAAAGAAGAAGAUGAGAGAUCAAAUCUCUCUUCUUUUCAUUUUCUCCAAUGCUUGGAUUGAAUCUAGAGAAGAAGGAGAUGGCCUAUCCAACUCUUGGACCAAGAGAAAGAGAGAGAUGAAGGGAAAGGCAUCCAAAUCUUUGGAUGUCUGGAAGAUCAAGAGGGAGAGA
rnacentral:lncRNA from 1 species